rnacentral:tRNA from 1 species
GCCACGGUAGCUCAGCCUGGUAGAGCGUUGCCUUGGUAAGGCAAAGGUCGUGGGCUCGCAUCCCACCCGUGGCU